AUAUUUAUAUGUAUCCUCUGAUUGUAUAUUGUAUAACAAGGAGACAAACACGGUCUUUUCGGGCCGAGCGUAUAUAAGUUUGCAAU